ACCUGGGACCUGGGAGUGGCCGGCACACAGCGCGCAGGACGCGGUUUGGCACGGGUUUAGGCGCCUCUUUGGAGCGAUGGCGAUUGCGCCCUAGACCCUCUGGAUUUGGCCUCGCCAGCGCUUCCGAGACGAAGCGGGCAGCUGGGCGCGGGGCAAGGAGGGCGCUGCGUAAAGGAGACGGGGGCGAAUUCUGCAAAGUGGGGCCGGAGGACAAGGUGACUUUGACUUGGCGGACGCUCUCGACCCAGACCCCACCCGGAAGCCGAACUCAG